rnacentral:rRNA from 1 species
AGGUCACUGACAUUAGAUACCCGGGUAGUCCAGGGUGUAAACGCUGCAGACUUGGUGUUGGAAGCCCUUUGGGGGCAUUCAGUGCCGGAGAGAAGUUGUUAAGUCUGCUACUUGGGGGAGUACGUCCGCAAGGAUGAAACUUAAAGGAAUUGACGGGGGAGCACCGCAACGGGAGGAGCGUGCGGUUUAAUUGGAUUCAACACCGUAAAACUCACCAGGGAAGACUGUUACAUGAAGGCCGAGAUGAAGACUCUGCUAGAUUUUCAG